rnacentral:rRNA from 1 species
AACGCGAAGAACCUUACCAGGGCUUGACAUGCACGGUGCAGCGCGAGAGAUCGCGUGUCCUUUGGGGUCGUGCACAGGUGGUGCAUGGUUGUCGUCAGCUCGUGUCGUGAGAUGUUGGGUUAAGUCCCGCAACGAGCGCAACCCUUGUCCUUAGUUGCCAUCAUUUAGUUGGGAACUCUAAGGAGACCGCCGGUGACAAACCGGAGGAAGGUGGGGAUGACGUCAAGUCAUCAUGGCCCUUAUGACCAGGGCUACACACGUGCUACAAUGGUAGGUACAAAGGGUUGCCAAGCCGCAAGGCGGAGCCAAUCCCAUAAAGCCUAUCGUAGUCCGGAUCGGAGUCUGCAACUCGACUCCGUGAAGUCGGAAUCGCUAGUAAUCGUAGAUCAGCAUUGCUACGGUGAAUACGUUCCCGGGCCUUGUACACACCGGAGUA